CGAGGAGCCGCUCGCUGCAGCCUGUAGGAAGGCGGAGUUGGACAUCCAACCCCGCCCACAUCCAACUCCGCCCAUGUCCAACUCCGCCUUACGUCUAAAGCAACACCCACCUUACGUCCGUCACGAACGCCUACAUUUACUCCCGGUAAACAGGAAUUGUAGCCGAGAAAGCAGCUAAAGCAUCUAUCUGAUUUAUAUCUCCGGUUAUGGCGCAUCCAACACAUGUCCAGGCCACUCCUGACCCUUCACGGUUUGGCCAGUGUGGUGUUUUCAAAUGCCCCUGCUUCAGUUUUGACACUGACCAGCGAUUUAAUAACAGCCUACAUCUACAAAACCAUAUCAAACAAGCAGUCGAGAAUAACGGAAAGUUCAGCGUGUUGAACGUGUGACUGAUGAAGGAGAUAGAAUGGGCAACGUCUCCUUUGAACAGGUGUGAGGGUGUGGAUGUGUGUUUUUUAUUUCGGGUUAAUUUAACUGGGCCAUUUAAAUUGUUUUACUGUUGUGGUUUGUUUUCAAAAGUCUGAAUUGGGCUGAAAAGAUAAGUUGACAUUAUUUGAAAUUUCAACUUGACCUAGUGUUGACUAGUCAUUUCAAGGGCAUUUGAAGCCCAUAAGCUAUUGGAGAGCUAUCAUUUUAAAGGGAUAGAAAAGCAGAGAGCUGUUUUGUUACGUUAAGGCAGAGAUUAGUCAACAGAAUGACGCUGACUACAGUCUUCAGGCAAAAAUGCUAGCCAUUCCUACAGUAAUCAGAGAUUGGGGAUAUGAUUGAAAUAAUAAGUUCCAACUCAGA